CUAAAUUGAUUGUUUAUUCUUUCAUUUGAUUGAGAUUUAGGUUACACUGUAUUGUGUUCAAAUGUCAAAUGAAAAGACCUCAAUCAUGUUUGAAGAACUAAUAUACUUAAAUUAUGUCUUUUUAUGAUUUAUUUCUUGUAACCAACUCAUGUAAAUGAAGUAAAUGCCACUGCAUCCAUUUCUCAACUUUUGUUUUUUUUUUUAUUUUUAAGCCAAUCGAGUUACAGUUUCAGUGUAUCUAUCGACUGUGUCACGUCUACAGGGCUUAGUGUAAUCCAGACCAGUACCUAUGGAAAAAGGAAAUCACUCUUGUAGGAAGUAAAUACCGCAUGAGGAAUUUAGAGGCAAGUGUGGACAUGUUUUGUUUGAUACUACAAUUACUAUUUUUCAUUUUUGGAAGUUACUUCAUGAUUACAAUUUUCAGUAAUUUUCAGCGAAGUCAUCACUACCUCCCUUCACCUUCCCUGAAGAUAUUUCUCUUCCUUGUGUUAUAUGUUGCCAUCGAAAAGAGUGGAUUUAGGGCAGAGGCCAAUGAAAUUGCUGUGAUUCUUCUUCCAUCAACUAGUAUCGUUUUCUUUUAGUAUUCAAUACCACUACUGCUAUUUUCCUGUAAUAUUAGAACAUCAAUGUCAGCCUUUCAUUAAUUCAAAACACCUUGCUUGUCAGGUGAUCCAUUUAAAAGAGAAGAAUUAGAACAGUCUCUUUUUUUCUA